AACUCUAGAGCUAAUACAUGCAUCAAUCCCUGACUUCCUGGAAGGGGUGUACUUAUUAGAUGGAAACCAGUGCGGGUUCGCCCGGAUUAUGGUGAUUCAUAAUAAUUUUCGGAUCGAUCAAUUGAUCGAUGCAUCAUUCAAGUUUCUGCCCUAUCAGCUUUGGAUGGUAGGGUAUUGGCCUACCAUGGCAUUAACGGGUAACGGAGAAUUAGGGUUCGAUUCCGGAGAGGGCGCCUGAGAAACGGCGACCAGUUCCAAGGAAGGCAGCAGGCGCGUAAAUUACCCAAUCCUGACACAGGGAGGUAGUGACAAUAAAUAACAAUGUCGGGCCUUCGGGUUUGACAAUUGGAAUGAGAACAAUUUAAAUCCCUUAUCGAGGAUCAAUUGGAGGGCAAGUCUGGUGCCAGCAGCCGCGGUAAUUCCAGCUCCAAUAGCGUAUACUAAAGUUGUUGCAGUUAAAAAGCUCGUAGUUGAAUUUCCGGUUUCGGAGUGCGGUCUGCCCCGUGGGGUAAGUAUCAGCGCUCGGGAGCCAUCCUCGAGGAGAACAUGCCUGUGAUUGAGUUCAUGGGUAUGGGAGCCUCGUCUUUUACUGUGAGCAAACUAGAGUGUUCAAAGCAGGCUUACGCCGUUGAAUACAUUAGCAUGGAAUAAUAAAAUAGGACUCUGGUCUAUUUUGUUGGUUAGUACUCCAGGGUAAUGAUUAAUAGGGACAGUUGGGGGUAUUCGUAUUCAAUUGUCAGAGGUGAAAUUCUUGGAUUUAUGGAAGACGAACUACUGCGAAAGCAUUUA
rnacentral:rRNA from 1 species